UACGAAGGGGGCUAGCGUUGUUCGGAAUUACUGGGCGUAAAGCGCGCGCAGGCGGUCUUCCAAGUCAGUGGUGAAAGCCUGGAGCUCAACUCCAGAACUGCCAUUGAAACUGUUAGACUUGAGUACGAGAGAGGUGAGUGGAACUGCGAGUGUAGAGGUGAAAUUCGUAGAUAUUCGCAAGAACACCAGUGGCGAAGGCGGCUCACUGGCCCGAUACUGACGCUGAGGCCCGAAAGCGUGGGGAGCAAACAGG
rnacentral:rRNA from 1 species